UCCUAAAUAGAGAUGGCUCUAUGUCAUAGGGUAGAGAUUAAAGAUGCCAUCUUCCAGGAGGCCAUAGGAGGGGAUAUGCACUUGAAACUCAGCAAUGCUUAUCUGUUCGUCCUCUAAUUAUUAUGCGGUCUAGAACACAGACCUGGAAGACAAGGCUAAGAAAAUGGACCGACUCUAAACAGAUCAUAAAAGACCACGAGUGUAUUCCUUAGGACUGUGGACCUUCAUUUAUAGAAUUUGGGGUUAAAGUUGAGAGCAAAACACAUCCAUGUGAAAAUCCUGUCCAAAGAAAGUUUGCUCUAAGACCUGAGGACACAUCUGCAUGUUUUGCAGCUUGCGGGAAAAGAGCCAGAGAAGAAGUGAGGAAAGGACAAGGAGUAAGAAAAAAGCAUAUAGAAACAUUUCUCUUCCUUAAGAAAACAAAUGUGGAUACAUGGCAAAGUC
rnacentral:lncRNA from 1 species